rnacentral:rRNA from 1 species
UACGUAGGGCGCAAGCGUUAUCCGGAAUUAUUGGGCGUAAAGAGCUCGUAGGCGGUUUGUCGCGUCUGCCGUGAAAGUCCGGGGCUCAAUUCCGGAUCUGCGGUGGGUACGGGCAGACUAGAGUGAUGUAGGGGAGACUGGAAUUCCUGGUGUAGCGGUGAAAUGCGCAGAUAUCAGGAGGAACACCGAUGGCGAAGGCAGGUCUCUGGGCAUUAACUGACGCUGAGGAGCGAAAGCAUGGGGAGCGAACAGG